rnacentral:rRNA from 1 species
AUUGUACCGCGAAACUGCGAAUGGCUCAUUAAAUCAGUUAUCGUCUAUUUGAUAGUACCUUACUACUUGGAUAACCGUGGUAAUUCUAGAGCUAAUACAUGCUGAAAACCCCGACUUCGGAAGGGAUGUAUUUAUUAGAUUAAAAACCAAUGCCCUCCGGGGCUCCCUGGUGAUUCAUGAUAACUUCUCGAAUCGCACGGCCUUGCGCCGGCGAUGGUUCAUUCAAAUUUCUGCCCUAUCAACUUUCGACGGCUGGGUCUUGGCCAGCCAUGGUGACAACGGGUAACGGAGGGUUAGGGCUCGACCCCGGAGAAGGAGCCUGAGAAACGGCUACUACAUCUAAGGAAGGCAGCAGGCGCGCAAAUUACCCAAUCCCGACGCGGGGAGGUAGUGACAAUAAAUACUGAUACAGGGCUCUUUAGGGUCGUGUAAUUGGAAUGAGUACAGUUUAAUUCCCUUAACGAGGAACAAUUGGAGGGCAAGUCUGGUGCCAGCAGCCGCGGUAAUUCCAGCUCCAAUAGCGUAUAUUAAAGUUGUUGCAGUUAAAAAGCUCGUAGUUGAACCUUGGGCCUGGCUGGCCGGUCCGCCUCACCGCGUGCACUGGUCCGGCCGGGCCUUUCCCUCUGGGGAGCCGCAUGCCCUUCACUGGGCGUGCCGGGGAACCAGGACGUUUACUUUGAAAAAAUUAGAGUGUUCAAAGCAGGCUUAUGCUCGGAUACAUUAGCAUGGAAUAAUGGAAUAGGACGUGCGGUUCUAUUUUGUUGGUUUCUAGGACCGCCGUAAUGAUUAAUAGGGACAGUCGGGGGCAUCAGUAUUCAAUUGUCAGAGGUGAAAUUCUUGGAUUUAUUGAAGACUAACUACUGCGAAAGCAUUUGCCAAGGAUGUUUUCAUUAAUCAGGAACGAAAGUUAGGGGAUCGAAGACGAUCAGAUACCGUCGUAGUCUUAACCAUAAACUAUGCCGACUAGGGAUCGGACGCUGUUGUCUUUUGACGCGUUCGGCACCUUACACGAAAGUACAAGUUUCUGGGU